AAAUUUGGAAUGAUGUCAAUUGUGUGACUCAGCUUAAAUGUGACUAGCACCACCUGUCCUGACCCCCUCCCAUGUCCACACUAUAAAUACCAUCUGGUGUGAGCCAGCAGGGAUGUAUGCCACAGAGAGCCCCAAGGAGACCCAUCAUCAUACAUACAUCAGAGAAGGAAUUGUAUAUCAAGUGUGAAGAAGAAAAAGAAGGAAGAGGUGAAGCCUUGCAUGGAGAUGGAGAGCCUCCCUUCAUCUGGUAGCCAAGAAUGACUUGCCUAUGCAAUGCCUCUGCUAACUGAUCCAUCUCACCAUCGGCUGGGAAGCCCCUGUGAUGGAUGCAGUGAGUGUGGCUGCAUGGGUGGGUCUUCUUGGCUAGCCAGAGUGGCUCUCAUCCACCAUGCCAGGCCAUCCCUCUUCAAGAAACAAAGAAAAUCUCUCUGAAGCCACUGGCUUCAAUCUCCUUUGCAGAUCGAGCUCAAUUUGGCAAUGCGAUAAUCGUCUACACGUCCUGAUCCCACCUUCUGAAUUCUUCUUUCUUUAGGGGAGAGAUGCACUGUCUUCAGCUCCGGAAAUGUUCCAUCAUCAACUGAACCCCCCUUGUUUGGCUUGCUCUUUUCUUCUUAGAACUAGAAGCGGAGCAAUGCACAGUACCAAGGUUACCAGGCUUUGCUGUGGCCAAGUCCCAGGUCCCAUGUAGAUGGAGACAAUUUCCCUGCUUAUUUUCUGAUGUUCUGCUGCCACCAGGUGCAUGCAGGGUUUGCCAGGUAUAGGCCGUGCGACAGCCGUCACCGGAUCCAAGAAUUGCAAGCUUCUUUCUGCCAGACCGAGCGGACACGAGGAUGUUUGUGCGGCGGUGUGCAUGGCCACACGUGUGCCAUGAACUGCAGCACACAUGGACUUGGCCCCCGUCCUGACGUGUGCCCUCGCCGUGAGCACGUUGCACAGAUGGUUUCGUCUCCAUCUGUCCAAGUGUCAUGUUCCAUGCUGCGAAAUUUGUUUACAGGCGACGUAGAAACAAACAAGAAUCCAGAUCUUUCUAGUGUA